rnacentral:ribozyme from 1 species
UAGCGGUCCGGAUCAUCUGAUCGGGAAGCUAGGUGGGGAAACAUCAUGAUUACCAUGAGGAAAUUAACCACC